GAUGAAGAACGCAGCGAAAUGCGAUACUUGGUGUGAAUUGCAGAAUCCCGUGAACCAUCGAGUCUUUGAACGCAAGUUGCGCCAGGAGCCAUUAGGCCGAGGGCACGCCUGCCUGGGCGUCACACGUCGUUGCCCCCCCAUCUACUCCUUCGGGAUUGCGGGGGGCGGAUGAUGGCCUCCCGUGCGCCUCGUCGCGCGGUUGGCAUAAAUGCCAAGUCCUCGGCGACGCACGCCACGACAAUCGGUGGUUGCGAAACCUCGGUUGCCCGUCGUGUGCGGUCGUCGCGCAUCGAGGGCUCGAAAAAAUUGCCGGGCUCCGGCUCGGCUUUCAACGCGACCCCAGGUCAGGCGGGGUUACCCGCUGAAUUUAAGCAUAUCAAUAAGCGGAGGA
rnacentral:misc_RNA from 1 species